rnacentral:rRNA from 1 species
GACGAACCGUCCUAACGUUGUUCGGAAUCACUGGGCUUAAAGGGGCGCGUAGGCGGGUUCCAAAGUCGGCGGUGAAAUCUUGCGGCUCAACCGUAGAAGUGCCGCCCGAUACUGGGGAAUCUCGAGGGGAGGGUAGGGGGUCGAUGGGAAACCUAAUGGGUGGGAGCGGGUGAAAUGCGUAGAUAUCAUUAGGGAACGCCGGUGGCGAAGCGAUCGACUGGACCUCUCUGACGCUGAGGCGCGAAGCCAGGAGCAACGG